AGACGAACCGGGCGAACGUUAUUCGGAAUCACUGGGCUUAAAGCGUGCGUAGGCGGCUUGGCAAGUUGGGUGUGAAAGCCCUCGGCCCAACCGAGGAACUGCGCCCAAAACUGCCAGGCUUGAGGGAGAUAGAGGUGAGUGGAACUAAUGGUGGAGCGGUGAAAUGCUUUGAUAUCAUUAGGAACACCGGUGGCGAAAGCGGCUCACUGGGUCUCUUCUGACGCUGCGGCACGAAAGCUAGGGGAGCGAACGGGAUUAGAUACCCUAGUAGUCC
rnacentral:rRNA from 1 species